rnacentral:rRNA from 1 species
CGCGGCCUAUCAGCUUGUUGGUGGGGUAAUGGCCUACCAAGGCGAUGACGGGUAGCCGGCCUGAGAGGGCGACCGGCCACACUGGGACUGAGAUACGGCCCAGACUCCUACGGGAGGCAGCAGUGGGGAAUAUUGCACAAUGGGCGAAAGCCUGAUGCAGCAACGCCGCGUGCGGGAUGACGGCCUUCGGGUUGUAAACCGCUUUCACCAGGGGCGAAUUUGACGGUACCUGGAGAAGAAGCACCGGCUAACUACGUGCCAGCAGCCGCGGUGAUACGUAGGGUGCGAGCGUUGUCCGGAUUUAUUGGGCGUAAAGAGCUCGUAGGUGGUUUGUUGCGUCGGAAGUGAAAACACAGGGCUUAACUCUGUGCUUGCUUUCGAUACGGGCAGACUUGAGGAAGGUAGGGGAGAACGGAAUUCCUGGUGGAGCGGUGGAAUGCGCAGAUAUCAGGAGGAACACCAGUGGCGAAGGCGGUUCUUUGGACCUUUCCUGACGCUGAGGAGCGAAAGCGUGGGGAGCAAACAGGCUUAGAUACCCUGGUAGUCCACGCCGUAAACGGUGGGCACUAGGUGUGGGGGACAUUCCACGUUCUCCGUGCCGUAGCUAACUCUUUAAGUGCCCCGCCUGGGGAGUACGG